rnacentral:rRNA from 1 species
UACGAAGGGGGCUAGCGUUGCUCGGAUUGACUGGGCGUAAAGGGCGCGUAGGCGGCCUUCUAAGUCAGACGUGAAAUCCCCCGGCUUAACCUGGGAACUGCGUCUGAUACUGGGAGGCUUGAGUAUGGGAGAGGGAUGUAGAAUUCCAGGUGUAGCGGUGAAAUGCGUAGAUAUCUGGAGGAAUACCGGUGGCGAAGGCGGCAUCCUGGACCAUAACUGACGCUGAGGCGCGAAAGCUAGGGGAGCAAACGGG